AGGGCGUAUGAUGGAUGCCUUGAAAAGAAAAGGCGAUGAAGGACGUGGCGUGGCUGCGAUAAGCUUCGGGGAGCUGCUUAGCAAGCUUUGAUCCGGAGAUUUCCGAAUGGGGAAACCCUGCGGCAUUAAAAUGUCGUAAUUCGCACAUUGUGCGGAGGCAAACCUAGGGAAUUGAAACAUCUUAGUACCUAGAGGAAAAUAGAACAAAAGUUAUUCCCUUAGUAGCGGCGAGCGAAAAGGGAUUAGUCCAAACCCAGCCCCUCUCGAGGAGCUGGGGGUUGUAAGAUGGUUGGCGUCCGCGUAUAUUUUUUACGCGGGGAAGUUUAAUAAAUACGAAUCUUUACUAAUCAAAUAUCCCUGGAAAGGGUAACCAAAGAAGGUAAAAGUCCUGUAGAUGAAAGUAGUUUCGUGCUUCUAGUCUUCUAUUCUUGAGUAACAUAAGUUCAAGACUAUCUUAUGUGAACCUGGCAGUACUACCUGUCAAGACUAAAUACUUUUCUUUUCGAUAGCGAACCAGUACCGUGAGGGAAAGGUGAAAAGUAUCCCAUUGAGGGAGGUGAAAUAGUACCUGAAAUCAUAUGCUUACAAAGAAUGGGCGCCCAGCCCUUCUCAAAGAGUUGGGUCACCAUGUGCUUUUUGCAGCACGAGCCAACGAGUUGAUAUGUAUUGCAAUUUAAAGACGAAUAGUCUGAAGGUAUAGCGAAAGCGAGUCUUAAAUUAGGCAUUUUUUGCAGUGUGUAUCAGACCCGAAGCCGAACGAGCUAACCAUGGCCAGGGUGAACCCUGAGUAAAAUCAGGGGGAGGCCCGAACGCACUGGCCGUACAACACCAGGCGAUGAGCUGUGGUUAGGAGUGAAAAGCUAAUCGAGUUCGGUUAUAGCUGGUUUUCCUCGAAAUAGCUUUAGGGCUAGCCUUGGACGGACAAAUCAGGGGGUAGAGCACUGGAAGGAAUAAGGUGGCUUUGCCUACUUAUUCCUAUCAAACUCCGAAUACCUGAUUUUUAUUAUCCAAGAGUCAGACUGUGGGGGCUAAGCUCCAUGGUCAAAAGGGAAACAGCCCAGAUCGUUAUCUAAGGUCCCUAAAUUUUCCUCCUUCGCCCUUUGGGCUUCGGAGGACCCGCCAUAGCUUUAGCGAAGGCGGGAGACUAAGUGGUAAAAGCAGUAAAUUUUCUCAAACAUCUAGGAGGUUGGCUUAGAAGCAGCCAUCCUUUAAAGAAAGCGUAACAGCUCACUAGCAUAGAAAAUUUGCGCUGAAAAUGUAACGGGGCUAAAGUCUAAUACCGAAGAUACGAAUGUCCCGCUUAGCGGGAUGUGGUAGAGGAACAUUCCAUGUGCAUUGAAGCUAGAUCUGCAAGGACUGGUGGAGUUCAUGGAAGCGAGAAUGUUGGCAUGAGUAACCGCAAGCCGCGUGAGAUUCGCGGCCACCGAAAGCUUAAGGUUUCCUGGGCAAUGAUAAUCAUCCCAGGGUUAGUCGGGCCUAAGGCAAACCCGAAAGGGUUAGUCAAUGGACACAAGGUUAAUAUUCCUUGACUGUUCUUGAAUUUAUACUAAGGAGUGACGUAGUUUUGUAGACUGAGCGCGUUAUUGGAUUUGCGUUUUAUACUUGAGGAUGUUUUUUUGGUAAAUCCGGGAAACAUUCCCGCCCUAGGUGGGUUAAAAAUCCAAGAGUAUAGAAGAAGCUUGUUUUUGGACAGGCGAAUUCAGUUGAGCAGACUACCAAGAAAAACUUCUAUGUUUUUCAAGUGCAACCGUACCAAAACCAACACAGGUAGGCAGGGCGAGUAGCCCAAGGUGAACGAGUAAAAGAUCCCUAAGGAACUAGGCAAAACAGCUAGGCGUAACUUCGGGAGAAGCCUCCCCGUCUUCGCUUUUUGCUUCGCAAAAAGCUUCGACGGGCAAAGCCCUUUAGUAUUAGGGCCUUGUCCGCCAUAGCUCAAGCGGAGCGCAGAGCGAAGGCGGGCGCAGCUAAAGACCCCUGGCGACUGUUUAUCAAAAACACAGGUCUCUGCUAACUCGCAAGAGGAAGUAUAGGGGCUGACGCCUGACCAGUGCUAGAAGGUUAACAAUGGUGGUCCUUUUGAUUUAUCAGAAGGGCUGGCCGUUCGAAGCCCUAGUGAACGUCGGUCGUAACUCUAACGAUCCUAAGGUCGCGAAAUUCCUUGUCAGGUAAGUUCUGACCCGCACAAAAGGCGUAACGACUGGGGGACUGUCUCAGGGAUUUGCUCGGUGAAAAUGCAAUGUCGGUAAAGAUGCCGACUUCCUACGACAAGACGAAAAGACCCCGUGAAGCUUUACUAUAGGUUGGCAUUGAUCUAGAGUUUUACAUGUGUAGAAUAGUGGGGAGGCUUUGAAGCCAUGUUUUCGGAUGUGGUGGAGCCGUCAGUGAAAUACCCAUCUUGUGAAAUUUUAGUAUCUUAAUUUUUUGUUGUUAGUAGCCUCAAAAAAGACAGUGCCUGCUGGGUAGUUUGAGUGGGGCGCUCUCCUUAAUUAAGGUAUGUUUUUCCGUUAUACAUACCGGGGGGACAUCUCGUAGUAAUACGGGAAUGAAAAUCUGGCUAUAUGCUGGAACAUCCGCAAGUAUCUGGCAGUACUUGGCAGGUUGAAUCUGGUUCUGUAUUUAUGGAAUCAGAUAAAAGCCUGCUAAGUAAAAAUCUGACCAGCGUCUAUGAUUUAUUCAUAGAGGCGGACAAUCAGCAGGGAAGGCUCUUUGAGCCACCCUCAGAGACUAUACGCCAGACAUCCUGAACCAUCAUGGUCCAGGAUGAUGAUAUAGUCCGAACUGUAUGGCGACAUACAGACCUAGGCAGAAGGAAUUAUUUGGGAAAAAAUGAGCGUUUUUUUCUAUUAAAGAAUGAUUCCAUUAAAUGACCUAGGAACUAAUUAAUUGGUAAUUUAUGAGAUCUAGAGAAAUUGAAAAUUACAAAAAGAAUCUUAUUUUGUUAGAUAGACAGAAAAAGAUUCUUAUUGGCACAUUGCUUGGUGAUGCUCAUUUGGAAGCUUAUUAUCGCGAUGAAGUUGCGAGACUGAAAAUUGAGCACAGCUACAAGCAAAGAGAAUAUGUGAAU
rnacentral:rRNA from 1 species